rnacentral:rRNA from 1 species
UACGUAGGGUGCAAGCGUUAAUCGGAAUUACUUGGCGUAAAGCGUGCGCAGGCGGUUUUGUAAGUCAGAUGGGAAAUCCCCGGGCUUAACCUGGGAACUGCGUUUGAAACUACAAGGCUAGAGUGUGGCAGAGGGGGGUGGAAUUCCACGUGUAGCAGUGAAAUGCGUAGAGAUGUGGAGGAACACCGAUGGCGAAGGCAGCCCCCUGGGUUAACACUGACGCUCAGGCACGAAAGCGUGGGGAGCAAACGGG